rnacentral:tRNA from 1 species
GAUGCAGGAACAGCAGAUACGUGAAGGACGGCACCCCGGAGUUGAACACGAACACCAGCAGCACCCCCGCACGC